rnacentral:tRNA from 1 species
CGACUAGCAUCUUCCGGG